GUACUCAGCUUCACGAUCUGUCCUUCCAGUGAGCACUUAAGGAAAUCAGCCCUGAGUGCUCACUGGAAGGACGGAUUGUGAAGCUGAGGC